rnacentral:rRNA from 1 species
CAGCAGCCGCGGUAAUAUGUAGGUGGCAAGCGUUGUCCGGAAUUAUUGGGCGUAAAGGGCUCGCAGGCGGUUUCUUAAGUCUGAUGUGAAAGCCCCCGGCUCAACCGGGGAGGGUCAUUGGAAACUGGGAAACUUGAGUGCAGAAGAGGAGAGUGGAAUUCCACGUGUAGCGGUGAAAUGCGUAGAGAUGUGGAGGAACACCAGUGGCGAAGGCGACUCUCUGGUCUGUAACUGACGCUGAGGAGCGAAAGCGUGGGGAGCGAACAGGAUUAGAUACCCCAGUAGUCCCUGUCUCUUAUAA